CAGUAGCCGCGGGAAUACGGAGGGGGCUAGCGUUGUUCGGAAUUACUGGGCGUAAAGCGCACGUAGGCGGCUUUGUAAGUCAGAGGUGAAAGCCCGGGGCUCAACCCCGGAAUUGCCUUUGAGACUGCAUCGCUUGAAUCCAGGAGAGGUGAGUGGAAUUCCGAGUGUAGAGGUGAAAUUCGUAGAUAUUCGGAAGAACACCAGUGGCGAAGGCGGCUCACUGGACUGGUAUUGACGCUGAGGUGCGAAAGCGUGGGGAGCAAACAGGAUUAGAUACCCCAGUAGUCCCUGUCUCUUAUAC
rnacentral:rRNA from 1 species